AAUCACAUGAUCAAUCAUAUGUUUUUCUUUUACUUUUCAUUUUCUACAGUUCCAGUACAAAGUACUUUCUGAUGAAAGCUUUUGUGAGAAAUUAAUGUGGAUAGAUAUGAAAUGUCAGAAGCUGGAUUUGAACUCAACUCUACUAACUAAAUCUACUACAUAGUUCACUGUACCAUGUUUUCACUAUUUUCUCAAAGGAAAGAAGCCGGAACUCUGUGUGCUAGAAAGAAAAGCCAAGGAUGUUCCUUUAAUUAGCUUAAAUAAUCUAGGAAAAGUGAACAGACUGGCUGUGACUGAGACCGAAGAGAGAAGAUAACUGACCACUAGAAGAUAAAGAGCCUGCAGAGCUUUGAUGCUGAGCCAGUCAGAAAGGUUGAGUACAAACUGGAAGAAAAAUCUUUGCAUUGGCAAUGACAGAACAAAAAUGAUUAAUAGUGAUUUUCAACAUCAAUUGCAGUUGCCUUUUCUGCAUUCAAGUCACCAGCUCCAAAUGAAGCACAUCAUCAAAAGAACUGGUCUAUGUAGUUGAUGAGUCAUUGGGAGACAUGACAAGGAUCUGGAAAAGGACAAAAUUGCUUAAUUAAAAGAAAAAAAAACAAGGUGAGGGAGAAGAGAAAGGUGAUGUUUUCUAAUUCAGGCUGACAAAUGAUCAUGAUUGAAAUUAUAGAAUUAAUUAACAUAGAGAUUAUUUAUGAACCUUUAGAAAAGGUGGUAGAGAGAUCACUUUAAACUAGAGUGACUUCAUUAAGAACAGAUCAUAUUAGAUUAAUCUCAUUUC
rnacentral:lncRNA from 1 species